AACCAGCACAGGACAGACUGGUGGAGUAGCUCUGUCGUGCCGGCUUCUGUCCGCUGAGGAGGGAGAGGCAGGGCAUGGAGGAGAAAGUCCAGAAUCCUGCUUGUUGGGGGAAGGCCACCAGGGAGAGCAGGUGACGGCAAGUCUGGCACCCAAGUCCUCAGAUGAGGCCAGGGAGGGUCCAGGGCUGGCUGGGAGAGGAGAGGCAUCCGAGAUUUUCCCCCUUGUGUGGUGUCUUUUGUCUUUUUCUCCAGUCAUUGUCCUUGGAAAAAAGUCACACACACUCAUACACACAUAAAAGAUGCAGCGAGAGUGACAAAUGAUGGUGAGAUUGCUACAUGUUUCACGCUCUUCCAAAGAUCUACUUCAAGAUUUCCUCAUGAAAACUUAAAGCUAAGAGACCGAAUGGCUCGAAGGAGGACAGCCAGCACCAGGAUUGAGCCUGGCAGCUGGCUGGGCCUACCAUUCAUGCGAGUCCUCUGCCGACAUGGCCCUGCGUAUUCUUCGCACAGGCUCUGUCUAAUUGAACCGGAAACUCUGUGAAGGAUGCUGUCUAUCUGGACGCUGCAGACUUUGUUCCACAGGAGAACCACUCGAUUCCAGACUCCGGGCAGUCCUGCAACCUCCGCCUUCACAAAGGCUGAGAUCAGGAACAGAGGACCACACCCAUCAGGAAAAAAAAGCCUCAAAGACUGGGAAACAGCUACUGUGUGCAGCUUUUUAAAAAGUUUAUUUUUAUUUCAUUUUUAAAAUAUAUAUUUACUUUUCUUUUA